rnacentral:lncRNA from 1 species
CUUGAGUGGACUUAAAAACUAAUCAGACAUGCGAGUUAGCACAUUAAAGUGUGAAGUUCUUGCUCAGAAAGGCCUCCGUCUUCUCUUCAAGGCAUAAAAUAGUUAUAGAAGUCAAUGAAUAUGCUAACCUGUGUCUCCAGAACACCCAUAUAUUCAAUGGAAGACUAUCCAGCUGAGAAAACAAAUCACUAUACUCUGACAAGAAAUAAUAAACAAACAUGUAAAUCCUGUGGAAAAAAAACUUAAAGGAAGUAAUUACACUUACUUUGGAGAAAAAAAAUACUGAAACAUGCUUGCUUUUUAACUGACAUAAAUUCAGUAGAAGACAACACAAUUCUUUUUUCUAACCAUCUUAGGGAACAAUACAUUGCAAUAAUUGAAAUAAAUGCCAUCACUGUAAUAAACUUUAGAGACUUUUUUAAAAUAAAAGUUGUUGGUCAUUUUGUUUGCUGUAACCUUCACUCUGUCACAUGAGUCAGUGUCCACAGAUUGCAUUUGUCUCACUACCAGGAACAAAAUGAAGACAACAUUAACGAAAAAUCAUCAGUCUACAAUGUAGAACCAGAAGAUAUUAUGGGUCACUCAUGUUAUCAAUAUUAUUUAUAAUCUUGUUCUGUGUACAAAAUUGUGGUUUUUGUACCCACCAAAAAGAAUAAACAAUAUUUACAUUCUUACAAUAUUUACAGAGCUUAAAGUUUUUUCUUAUCAUUAUAAAAAUUAUUUGAGAAAUUAUGAGACUAUAGGUGGGAUAGUAAAAGUAAACUGUGGGCCAUAUUGGAAAAUGUAGUUAGCCCUUAUUAUUUUUGCAUAGUAAGCUAAUUUUUUACACAGAUCUUUGCCUCAUUAGCAGUUAAAUUGUCAAAGAUGGAACGUUUGAAUUGGGGAAUUUAAUCAUUGUCAUAAUAACAACAUACCC